rnacentral:rRNA from 1 species
CCUACGGGGGGCAGCAGUAGGGAAUAUUGGACAAUGGGGGGAACCCUGAUCCAGCCAUGCCGCGUGUGUGAAGAAGGCCCUCGGGUUGUAAAGCACUUUCAGUGAGGAAGAACGCCUGGUGGUUAAUACCCAUCAGGAAAGACAUCACUCACAGAAGAAGCACCGGCUAACUCCGUGCCAGCAGCCGCGGUAAUACGGAGGGUGCGAGCGUUAAUCGGAAUUACUGGGCGUAAAGCGCGCGUAGGUGGCUUGAUAAGCCGGUUGUGAAAGCCCCGGGCUCAACCUGGGAACGGCAUCCGGAACUGUCAAGCUAGAGUGCAGGAGAGGAAGGUAGAAUUCCCGGUGUAGCGGUGAAAUGCGUAGAGAUCGGGAGGAAUACCAGUGGCGAAGGCGGCCUUCUGGACUGACACUGACACUGAGGUGCGAAAGCGUGGGUAGCAAACAGGAUUAGAUACCCGAGUAGUC